UCCUGUAACAGGGAAAAGAAGAAACAAAAGAGUUACUCAGCUGCAUCUCCGGUUAAUGUUGUGACUGACAGAACGGUGUCACGGGUACAGGCUGCAAAAACCACUCUGUAACUGCUCGUUGGGCUCGUGUACUUCGGCCAUCGCUCUCAACCUUUCGUUCUCUUCUCUUGAAGAAGAAACUUCCACCGAGAGCAGCGCCACCUACAGGAUCCAGAGAAGAACCAGAGGACAGAUGAACUGAUGAGCUCAGAUUUCGAUAUGACGCUUGUUACCGUGGAUUCAUUGCCGUCCAGCAGGUUUUGCGUAAGUCUGCGCAGCUCCACGAGACUAGCGGGCAAACUACCCAUGGGGACGUCUUUUGCCGACAACGUCUCCGAAGACUCGUCCAUGGAUGAGUCUGUGGAUAAGGCGGAGUCUGUGAUGUCAUUUCCUCUCAGCUGUGAGCAGAUGGAACGCACCUGACACUCCUCCUGCUCCAUACUCUGCUCGAUCUCACAGAGAAGGCUGUGUGGGUUCGGACUGAAGCCCUGUAGACUGCGUUCCUCCGUCAGCUCCUCCAGACGAGCGCUCAGCUGCCUGUGAGACACGCGCACCUCCUGCAACUCCAGCUGGCUCUGCCGCAGCUGUGCACCAGCCGCUCACCUGUAAGUCCUUGUCGUGACACUGUUUCUCCAGCACCAGCGUUCGCUCUCUCAGCUCCUCCACCGUGUUCUGCAGCUGCUCGUUCUCCUCAAGCAUGGCGUUCACACGUCGCUCCAGUUCCUGCUUACGUUCCGACAACAUCUUUAUCUACCCAACGAGACCGGGAAAAACACCAGAGAGAGAUUGACGGACGGUUCAGCUGAUCCUGUAAAUCAGCUCUGGUCUGACGGACAGCUCAUCCCUGUAUCGAACACUAAUCAUGGGACUAAUUACCCUCUGUGAGUAAACCCUGACACUUCAUCUCAGUUCUGUGUAGUUCUCUAUAUUAUGACUUCUGAGUAAAGCUGUGGCAGUACCAUAAAUCAGUGAUGCAUCAGAUAGUAUUAUUAUGGUACUUUGAUAUACAGUAGGGUCCAAAUGUCUGGGACAUUGAAUAUUUUUUUCAAUUUUUUCCAAUUUAAAAUAAAAUAAAAAAAUUGUUUAAUAGUGAUUUACUUUGUAUAUAUAUUUUUUGUAUGUCUUUGUUUAUCCUGUAGAAUUUGUAUUAUUGUUCAUUUGGGUGUAGAAUUAUGAUUCUGUUUUCUUUUUGAUUAUUUUUAAUUUUAACCUUUACUUUUUUUUCUCAUUUUGUAUUCUACACAAUUAGAGGUGUGGCCUUUGUUAAUAUUAACAGCGUUCAGUACUGUUUUUAAUUUUUAAAAAGGGUAAAUUUGUGGCCAAAUGGAACCAUUUAAAAAUCAGAUCUGAUCUCGAUCAGUAAAAACGCAUGCAGAGACCGGAUAUGUUUCAGGAUAACUUGCCAGUCAGUAAUCAUUUAGGAGAAGUGUGGACUGUUCACUUAAAGGAUUAGUUCACUUUCAAAUGAAAAUUAGCCCAAGCUUUACUCGGAUGGAGACACUUUCUUCAGCUUAUACUCGUUGGUCCCGUUCACUGCCAUUAUAAAGCUCA